rnacentral:rRNA from 1 species
CAACUCGGCUGCAUGAAGCUGGAAUCGCUAGUAAUCGCAGAUCAGAAUGCUGCGGUGAAUACGUUCCCGGGUCUUGUACACACCGCCCGUCACACCAUGGGAGUUGGAAGUGCCCGAAGUCAGUGACCGAACCGAAAGGAAGGAGCUGCCGAAGGUGGAGCCGAUGACUGGGGUGAAGUCGUAACAAGGUAUC